rfam:Schistosoma curassoni strain Dakar, Senegal genome assembly, scaffold: SCTD_contig0011111
GUUUAGCUGAUGAUUCUUAAAUAUGACGAAACGCGCGUCCUGAAU